CUAAAGGGGUUGCUCUUAUUGCUUCUAGUACUGGCAGUAAAUUAGAGGAAAACGUCUAUAAUUAAAGAUUCUUCAUCCUGCAGGAAGACGCUACCACAGAUGCUUUCAAAGCUAAGUAUUCCCAAAUAUCAUUCUUCUGUAAGGAUAAUGAGUUUCUCCUGGUUAUAAUCAAACCUUAAAUUAACUCCCUGACCUACAAUAUCAUGUCAGACUCCUGGUGAAAAUUUCAAACUGAAUUUCAAAAAUCUAUUAUUUAUUUCUUUUUUUAAAUAUAAAUUAAAUAUUACUUUUCUAUUAUCAGUCGUUAACCUUUAGAGUAUACAUAGACAUAGAAUAAGCAUCAAAAUUGUUCUAAUAAAGUAGUUGCAUCGAUCAUAAUUAACAAAAUAAUUCAUUGGACAAGGGGUUAAGCGACAUUUGGAAAAUAAAGAAAGAAAUAAGAGGGAUAUCUCGUUUAUCCAAAAAUUAUGAUUUCAUCUAAUUAGAGCUGUGUUGUUAUCAGGGCACUGAGAAUCGCGGAAGGACGUGAGUGCGUGUUAAAGUUGGCAACCCUAGGCUCGACGACGCUCUUAGUAGCCCGUGAAGGUGCCAGUCGGCCGAGGAACGUCGAAACGGGGAUUCCCGUCAUAGGAAACCUGCGCACUGAACCCGUGCUUCCAGUCAGCUGUGUAUCGCACGACCUGCAACCUCCCGUCCGGAAGUUGAACUCUGUACUCUCCGCGGACAAUGUCACCGUCGCUGAUGGCGUUGUGGGAGUAAUCGUUGCCGAACGCGUCCUCCUUCACUGCAUAGUUGAAGUCGAACGGCAUGCCUGGCUCGUGAUGAUGAAGAAAGGAAUAAAUCAGCUGAAAAAUUGGAACUAAGGGUACUCCUGAGUACUGUGGCCACAAGCAGGACCAUUCUACUCUCUAAAGGCACGUCGACACCUGUGGCAUUACUGUAAGUGACGAGUUCGAGUCUCCCAAAGUUUCAUGAUACAUAUUUCACUGGAAGAAACAGCGAAGAAGGCUCAAACCCAUCACUUGCUGCGACGUCCGCGUCGCCGCCGGUCUCAGCAUAUAUGGGGGCCUUAAGAAAAACGUCCUCCCACUCCGUCCACCUACUCCUGUUUACACAACAGCGUCGUAUCACAUUGUAAUCGUUUGACGCGCGACUUUAACGACAGCCGCCGUUUCCUCUCGCGCGAACAGAACACGUGUCAGACGCGGAGGAUCGUGACGAGAACGUAAUGAACCGUUCGCGCCGAUGGCCGCCGGAUUUGGUAAACGCGGACGACAGAUGCGCGACGGCCGUAGGGGAGAAUCGAACCCGCCGCGUUUUCUUCAAUUAGGAACGGUUGCGCAAAUUCGUACUGUUAGAACGCGCGUCAUAAAUAGCAGUAAUUGUUAUCGAGACUGGCGAUCGCCGGCUUCACCUCCCGCUUGGAGCACUGACCACCGAGAUAACGAAGUUGCUAACUUAGUAACUUGCGAUAAAUAAUUCCUUGACGGUUCGAGAAUAGUUGAUAGAUUUAUUAUUCGUUAAUAGUGUAAAUAAUGUAAAAAUAUUGCUGGAAUUUUUUAACGUUCGACACGUCGAUUAUAUGGUCUCUAAAUUUUGAUUUCUUUGUAGGAGUAUUGCGGUAUUAACACUUUGCACUCGAGAGGUGACUCUGUCACCAUUUGAUUUGAAGUAAAAUUAGAAAAUUUAAUAUUUAAUUUAAUAAAGAAGCUUUGCUUCUCAAUUUACCUGUGAUUUCUCUUUGGAUUUGUUUAAAAGAACCAUCGUCUUUGUCUAGUUAGAAAAUGUUGAGUAUUGCUAACGAAAUACUUCCGUCAUUCAAAGUUUAAUAACAGAAUUAUUAGUUUGAAUGACUUUAUGGAUGAGUCAAGGAUUGUGGACAAGUCAAUGUAAAUACGUCAUCUACGCGUUGAUAGAAAAAAGGGUACCUGAAAGGGACUCAGAUAUAAUUGGCCCGGAGGCACGUAAACAGAACUCACAGCGGAAUAAUCGAGGGUCGCGGAUCUAUUCAGUCGUUAUCAUUUCAAGCGAAACGUAGCUUCGGACAAACUGCGCAUAAGGUGUAAUAGUGUAGAAUAGUAAUAAGAUAGUACAGAACAGUAUAAAAGUGUAAUAAAUAGUAGCAAUCAACAAGAAAGAUACCGAGAAUGAUUGAAUCUAAUUGUAAGCGUAUAUCAGUGUCAUGAAAGUUCAGUUUAUCAGUUUUAUCAAGACACACAACAAAGAAAGAAGCCGCGAGUGUGCACUGAAAAGUCGCGAGGAACGAGCGAUGCUUGAUGCGAGAGAUAAUUGCGUGAGUUUUUCGCUCUGAGCGUGUGUCAACGCGUGUCGUUCGUCUACAGUGAUUUCGCAACGGCUUAAUUACACGUCUUCCGCCUAAUUUCCGACCUCCGUCCCUUCGUGUAUCCUAAUGCGUGUGAAACCGUCGCCUUUGUAUCAAUUUCUAGCGUCAUCUUCGUUCAAACGUGAUUCUAAUGACUCCCGCGACGUUAGAUAUGAAAUCAAGAGAAAUUGGAUACCGAUCAUUUAAAGGAAAGUUGGAAUCUGUGACAUUGGAAUGCUAGAAAUUGUCGUUUUGAAAUGCGUCUAUAAAAUUCAAGAAAUAUCCUAAGACAAAGGGUUGAAGAUUCUCGAAGGAAAUGUAAUCGAGUACUAGGAUGAAGAAUGAUGCUCUACCCAAUGAUGCAUUCAUUCAACGAAAUUCCAUUUGCCUACGUGAAUUCUAAUUCACAGCUAGUCUUCCUAGAUUUCCUAACGGUUGAAAAUUAAUAGGGACCGCUAAACACGCCAGUGAAAGUGUUACAGCUAAUUGAAAAACAGAAAAGCCGACACGACUUCAAUUGAUCUAAUUUCCAUCUUGGACACCAGCCAAAAAGCAGUCGAAGAAAGAAAGAAGAAAUGAGGAACUUGCGAAAUCCUGAAAGUUAAGCAGCCACAUUCGCUCAUUUAAAUUUACUAACGAUACCGGACCAAGGACUGCAGUUUCCAUGUGAACCACGUCGCGACGCAACCGCCAGGAAGAGGUGCAGUCCGAAGAGGAAUGAAGAAGAAACCGUCGGAAGAGGAUAUUAGGUUGGCAGGAAGAUUCUGUCGUUUUUCGGUUUCUCCACUUCCCGCGCUUAUUCUGUUAUUAUUCAUUGCGCGACACAGAUGACUUUGGUAGCAAUCGAAAGCUAUUACUAUUGAAUUUUUCAAUUUUAAAUUGUGUUUCGAUUAAAUUCUGACAAGUAUCUAUUACAAAUGGGGAUGCAAUUGGGCAUAACUCCAUGGAAGCUCGUAAAACUCUAUGGUUUAUUUUUGCAUAAAGUUGAAGUAUGGUUGAAAGAUUUUUAUAAUUUUUCGUCUAUGGUUAAAGGGUAGGAUUGUUUACAUCCGACAUGAAUGACCUAGUUAACAGAUGUUUAAAGAUUGUUCCUUAAAAGAAACGACAAAACUUUCUUGUCAACCUAAUAAAAUGAAGACUACUGGCAGCUUUUGUUGCGAUUGCAUACUGCCACAAUGUAAAUAUACUUUUAUGGUUGCGAAUGAUCAGGCACCCGGAUGAAAACAAUAAAAGCGUCCGGGCAGAUAUAUUGCACCCUUCGAGGCUCCCCCCGAAGAGAUGAACGCAGUUGACAUGAUUGUCGGCGAUAAAUUCUUCAAGUUUUAUGAUCUUGUUGCAUAAAGGGAUCAUAUAACGCUCUGUGUUGCCGGAUGUCCGCCACUUUCCAGUGAUUUACAUUGAAGAGGAAGUGGAUACAGUGUGGUCUUGCGGUUGCAGAUGAAACAAAAGGAUAGCGAACAUCAGUGAUGCUGGAAGAAUUUUGGUAGAGAUUUCCUUGAAACGAAGGAAAAUGUUACGUUAGAAUUAGAGAAUACCAUAGCUACAGAAGAACACGAAAUCAACCCUCGCGUCUUCAAGAACAUACUCGCCAUUAACAUCACUAAAUACCAAUAUACCAAUAAAAAGUGAUCCCAGGAACCCAGAGGAAUUUGAUCGGUUAAGGAUAUCUCCAGCAACCCGACAUUACUUUCCCAUCAUCGUCGAGAUCUCCACUUUGUAGAACACGGAAAUGAUUCAGGGUAAAGAAGAAAAUAGGUCUAGGGGCGCUCAUCACUCGUCGAGCAUGCGAUAUUCUUGUAACAACGAUUAACGGAGAGGAAUAGGAAUUGUGGUUGCCUUUUUUUAUAUAUUUUGAUACUUUAAAGGAAGUCGACGAAGAUAAUUUGCAGAAUAGAGUUCAUUUCACCCUGUUUCUAGAAGGAAGAAUUGAGAAAUACAAAGAGGUCCUUACGAAAGUAGAGUAGAAAGAACGUGUGACGCCAGAGGAUUAUAAAGAACAAAAGGGAAUUGUUAUCCUAGAAGGAUUGCCGCUCAGUUCGUCUCGCACUUUAUGAAACUCCUUUUGCGGUGGCCAGGUGUUAUAACAAGAAUAACGAGGAAAAGUCUAUCACGCGAACCUUGCCAAUCUUAUCUACAACUUUUAAUCUAUCUUGAUCAACCGAUGUUUCCGUAGAAGUGAUCGUUCGCAGCUGGAAAAUCCACAUUGGCAACAGGAUGAUCCAGUAUGUUUGCAUUUUGAAUCAUUCGCGACGCGUAUGGUUUGACAUUAUAGUAACUAAUCGAUGCUUCUGUUGGAAUUAACAUUUGAAACCGGAAAAUACACAUUGGUUACCAGGAUGACCCAGUGUGUUUGCGUUUUGAUGGAUCCGCCACGUGUUUGGUUUGACAUUACGGCCAUCGGUGCAUCCUCGGCCCCUGGCUUCAGUAGGCAAGCGGAGAAAGGCACGCGCGGGUACGCACGCUCGGAAUUGCUUGGCGAGCAAUCCGCCUCUUGCCCAGCCUUACGUGCAUCCCAGCAAGACCGAGCAAGACCAGGUCAGGGCAGAGCACUUGGAUCGUUACUUCAACCCUUUCACGGCCGAGGAGAUGCCUCGUGUCUGCGUUUAUUGGCAAACGGCGACUCGCCGUUCAGAAGAUGAAUCUCUGCUUGCGAAGAUUCAUGGAGAAUAAUCUGUAUUAACUUCAGACAAAUCGUAGGAAAUGGUGAAUGGUAAAUGGACACGACUUCCUCCGGGGAAAAAUAUGGAUGACAGCGUUGCGCCGAGAAGGCUCGUCCGUAGAACAAGACAAACAGAAAGUGUCCAGGUCGGGAUUAGCAUGUUCAAUCUAACAUUUAAGGCGCCUAUUAAUUAUCGAGGAUGAAAUCUGUCGGACGUCAGCCGCCGUGGAGUACUCGACGCUUGUCAAAGUGGCUGAGUGUUCUGAAAAUGGGUUGAAGCUGCUUUUGAUAGAGGACAGUCGAGAAGAAGCGCCCCUACUUUGAUAUAACGGCGAAGCUAUAAUCCUGCAGUAUAAUCUACAAGACUCUCAAACGAAUGUCCUGUCCUCAUUUUAUCCUGGCGCACCGUGGAAAUCACCAGUUUCCUUUUUCGUACCCGGCAAUCAACCGACUGUUUUGACAUUGACAUUUAACGAUUAAUGGUGUAAUCUCUGUCUUUUUAGAUUAAAUAAUACGAGCCAUAGUCCUGCGAGCUAGUUUCGGCGAGCAAAUAGACAAGAACGACACGCUAAGCAACCCACGUUCCCCAGGAGCCAAGGUCUCGUGGUGGGGCAAUCCGUGAGCGAGACACUGUCACAAAUACCGAUGUCGCGCCGAGUCCUGCUCAAGCAGAAUCCCUUCUACGAGUCUUACACACACUGGGCUACCGUUCCCACCCUGUGGUACCUCUUCGUGUGACUUGUGAGCCUACAAGAGUUCUUGCUCCUGAAGAACUCACUUGAAUACACCUAUAGAAAGAAAUACUAAUCAACUAUGAAAAAAUCUCAGAGCUAAACCAACUGCGGAAAACUUCAAACAGCUGCAUCUACUUCUCAAGUUUAUCAACGUUUAACUAGAACUACCAGAUGGGUCAAAGUGACUCCUAAAUUCUUUUAUGAUUAUUGAGAAAACAGUAGAUUCAAGAAAUUUCGAAAGAAAUCGUUAGCAAUACGCAAAGUUUUGAGUGAUGAAAUGAAGUUUUGAGCAAAUGAAACUAUUUAUUUUCAAAAUCAUUUCGAAUAUUCAAUGCUUCGAAGAUAUCAAUAAUUGCUAAACAAAAAAAUCGAAACCAGUCAUUCUGACUGGUAGUUCUUGUGUUAAUAUAGAACGAAGAUAAUAAACAAUAAAAAAGAGUGUGAAUAUUGAAGAAUGUUUUACAC